CUCGUAGGCUGUUCGGUCAGUCAGAUGUGAAAGCCCUCGGCUUAACCGGGGAACUGCAUUUGAUACUGCCAGACUUGAGUGUCGGAGAGGGUGGCGGAAUUCCGGGUGUAGGAGUGAAAUCCGUAGAUAUCCGGAGGAACACCAGUGGCGAAGGCGGCCACCUGGACGACAACUGACGCUGAGGAGCGAAAGUGUGGGGAGCAAACAG
rnacentral:rRNA from 1 species